rnacentral:rRNA from 1 species
UACGUAGGCAGCGAGCGUUGUUCGGAAUUACUGGGCGUAAAGAGUGUGUAGGCGGUGCUCCCAGUCUGUUGUGAAAUCUCCCGGCUUAACUGGGAGGGUGCAGCGGAAACUAGAGUGCUAGAGGGUGGGAGAGGUAAGCGGAAUUCCUGGUGUAGCGGUGGAAUGCGCAGAUAUCAGGAGGAACACCGGUGGCGAAGGCGGGUCUCUGGGCCUUACCUGACGCUGAGGCGCGAAAGCUAGGGGAGCGAACAGG